UACGUGAGGGCGCAAGCGUUGUCCGGAAUUAUUGGGCGUAAAGAGCUCGUAGGCGGCUUGUCACGUCGGGGUGUGAAAGCCCGGGGCUUAACCCCGGGUCUGCAUUCGAUACGGGCUAGCUAGAGUGUGGUAGGGGAGAUCGGAAUUCCUGGUGUAGCGGUGAAAUGCGCAGAUAUCAGGAGGAACACCGGUGGCGAAGGCGGAUCUCUGGGCCAUUACUGACGCUGAGGAGCGAAAGCGUGGGGAGCGAACAGG
rnacentral:rRNA from 1 species